rnacentral:rRNA from 1 species
UGGGGAGUACGGUCGCAAGACUGAAACUCAAAGGAAUUGACGGGGGCCCGCACAAGCGGUGGAGCAUGUGGUUUAAUUCGAAGCAACGCGAAGAACCUUACCAGGUCUUGACAUCCUCUGACAAGCCUAGAGAUAGGACGUCCCCUUCGGGGGCAGAGUGACAGGUGGUGCAUGGUUGUCGUCAGCUCGUGUCGUGAGAUGUUGGGUUAAGUCCCGCAACGAGCGCAACCCUUGAUCUUAGUUGCCAGCAUUCAGUUGGGCACUCUAAGGUGACUGCCGGUGACAAACCGGAGGAAGGUGGGGAUGACGUCAAAUCAU